rnacentral:lncRNA from 1 species
AGCUUCUUUGUUGUUUUCCUUCGAAGAUUAGGCUUCCAGGAGUCUUUUCUUCCAAGGAGAUCCGGUCAAAGCCAUGCAAGAUCGGAUCCCUUGAAGAAAAAUACCUCUGUUGGUCAAUCGAGGCGGAGACGAAUCUCAAAAGCCGUCUUGUUUGCUUUCUACUCCUCAAAUGGUAAGGUCUCAUUUACCUCUCUAUUUUUUCUUUCUCUUUUCUUCAGAAUUCGAGUCAGCUUCCUUCUAGGUUGAUUUUCAGUUGAAUAAACUUUGUGUUCUUCAUUUUUGAGAAUCAUCCCUGUUUUAGUCAUUGGUCAUAUUCAAAAUCAGUUGCUUAAGGGGUAAUUAAUUUAGUUUCAAUUCAUGAUUAAUUUAGCUUAAGUCUUGAAGUAGUUUUUUGCUGUCACAGUUGUUAGUUUCCUUUUGUUUGCUCUGAUUCUAUGAUUAGCCUAUAUUGUUAGUUAGUUGUUUUAAUUAAUGCAUAAUUAGUUUAGGCUCAGUUUUAUUCAAGUUUGUUUGUUUGUUUGACUCAUCUGCCUCUAUUUAUCAUUAAACUGAUAGUUUGAUAAGCCUUAUGAAGUUUUCUUAUGGAUCUGAUUCAGUUUAGAGAUUAGGUUUAUUUUUAAAAUUUUCAGAUAUUUUGCCUUUUAACUUUGAUUAUUUGCUUCAAUUAUUGAUAGUGGCCCAUUGGAUUCUGUUUGAUAGGAUUUGUAAUUGUUAAAAAACUCCUAGGGUCUUAAUUGAACAAAUGAAAACUUAGGAGGUUAAUUUGGGAAUAGGAGAUAGGAUUUUCAUAUGAGAAGCUUCUAGAAUUUGGGGCAGCUGGCUCAAUUUUGGCCUGCAAAAAUGCUGAAACCAAUCGAAAGCUGUCAGCUGUCCCAAUUCUGUUAAAAAAAAAUGUUGUGUGAGGGAAUAAUUCUUAUUCUGUUUCUACAGCACAUGGCACUCUUAAGGGAUAUAUAUAGACCCUUUCCUUCACACACAAAUAAGAGAUUUCAGACCCUAGAAAAAGACCCUAAAAGUUCGGCAUUGUUUAGCUAAAAAUUUUCUGAUUUUUUCACAAGAAAAACUAGGAGAAGUUCUUUGAAAUUUUCGGGUUCUAAAAAGGCUGAAACAUGGUUUAGUUGUGGAAGCUGUGUUGUUGCUGCUGGAUUUCUAUUUUGCUUUCGUUUAUGCUGACUUCAAGGCUCAUUUUAUUCUAUUUAUUAUAUUCAGGUACUCUUAUGAACCUCUGAAUGGAAAAUGAAGAUGCACAACAUGUUUACUUAGUUUUUUUUGCAAUAAUAAGAUGCGGUUUAGUUAGUUAGCUCUUCUAUUUUUUUUUUGUGUGGAAAUAGUUUGAAUCAGGACAUUAGAUUGAAACCAGUAUUCAUGAGAAUGAUCAUUUAGUAUUAGUUAGUCCAUGUAUGGUUCUCAAUAAUUUGAAAACUGGUAGGCAGCCAUAGUAGUUUACAUGGGUUUUGCUA